UACGUAGGGGCAAGCGUUGUCCGGAAUCAUUGGGCGUAAAGCGCGCGUAGGCGGCCCUGUAAGUCCGUUGUGAAAGUCAAAGGCUCAACCUUUGAAAGCCGAUGGAUACUGCAGGGCUAGAGUCCGGAAGAGGCGAGUGGAAUUCCUGGUGUAGCGGUGGAAUGCGCAGGAUAUCAGGAGGAACACCGGUGGCGAAGGCGGGUCUCUGGGCCGAUACUGACGUGAGGAGCGAAAGCGUGGGGAGCGAACAGG
rnacentral:rRNA from 1 species